UAUCAAAACAUUAUUUCACCUGUUUCUGCUUCGGGAAAACUUUCUUGCAUGUGUUUGCUUUAGACAAGGGCUCUCUUCUUGUGAGGCCUACAUUCUAGUAUGGAAGACAGGAAGUAAACUAGUGACAACAGAUGGGUGGGAAGGGGUUUGAAGGGAUCAAGGCAGGCAGAAGUGAGUGGCUGGGUUAGGAAAGCUGAGCAGGACACUUUCUCUGGGGAGGAACAUGGAAGAGUCAGCUACUACAAAAUGGUUCAAGAAUGGUCUAGGCUGGGCAAGAGUAAUAUCCUUCAAGUUAUGCCAAACCUGGAGUAGGUGGUGGUGGUACUGGUGGAGUUGGGGCAGGGGAGAGGAGAUGGAGGUGUGUCACUAUGCAUAGAAGCCAUAGGAGGGUUGUAAGACCACAGAGAUAACCCCCCAGAACUUUUAGUAAACACUAUAGGUUGCCACCAUGCAAAGAAUGCACUACAGGUAGUUAAGAGUGCAAGCCAGAGCAGCAGGAGCAGGUGUGGGUGGGGCCAGUGCUACAGUCACCCAGGGAGGUUGCUGGGGUGAGUGUGCACUGCAAGCUAGAAGUAUAGUGAGCUUGUAGGAGCUUCCUGCCCCCAGUCCUGCCCUAGAGUGCUAGCCAGGGGAUGGGUCAGUGUUACAGCAGGACUGUGGCUGGGGUUUGGGGAUAGGGCAGGCCUGAGCUUAGCAGCCAAGAGCCUUCUGGUGAUGCUCCUGGUGUUAGCCAUUUCUAGGAGAGCCAAGAUCUAACGGUUUAUUUCUAACUGAUGGUGACUUCCUGGGUCAUGAUGGAGGACAAGCAUCUUCCACGGAGAGAAAGGCAUAUUUUGGAGACUACCACAGCCUGCACUUCAGACUUGGGUUCCUGGCCCACGCUGUGUCAUCAUGAGGGAUGUUGGCUUUAGCAGAACCAGACUACAGUGCCUUUCCCAACACUGUCCUGGCCUUUGACCAGCUGUGAGAUCUGGAAGAGAAGCAGCAUGAGAUCAGGGAAGAUUGGUGGGAAGCCAGGACAAGAAUGACCAAAACUUGAAGAUUCGUUACCACCCUUGAGGAGAAUAAAGGAGCGGGACAGAAGAACAUGGAGACAUCUGUUCAGAGGAUGGGAGAGCAGAGGGUGACCUGUGUGAACCUAGGAGGCCAGAGACUGAAAUGGUCUCUUCAUCUGAGAGACCAGGCUGCUGCUCAGACAAGCAGGGCUUGAUCUGCGUAUGGGACAAAAAAACUGGGGGAGAUUUGAUCAGUAAUUCUUUGCAUGCAGCUAAAAACAGCAGCCCAGGAGUGACAGAGGGUGUGAUUUAAUAACACACAACGUGCCGUU
rnacentral:lncRNA from 1 species